rnacentral:rRNA from 1 species
UAUCGAGCUUCAACUCUUUAGAUACCUUAAAACCUUUGAAAGAAAAUUAUCUCUAAAAAGAAGUUUUGGUUGGGGCAACCACGGAGUAUAAAAACCCUCCAGAAAACUAAACCGAUCUUUAAUCAAAUAAACUUAAACAAUAAAGAACCAGUAACCCUGGUAAACAGAAAAAGUUACCGCAGGAUAACAGCGUAAUCUCCUUUAAGAGUUCACAUUGACAAGGAGGAUUGCGACCUCGAUGUUGGAUUGGGACCCAUAGGUGCAGCAGCUCUAAUGGUUGGACUGUUCGUCCAUUAAACCUACAUGAUCUGAGUUCAGACCGACGAGAGUCAGGUCAGCUUCUAUCUUCUUAAAAUUUUUUUCUAGUACGAAAGGACCGAAAAAAUACUUCCCAUGAUUUUUAUCAAGAAGUAACUUCAACCAAACACAAAACACUUCAAUAAUGAAA